AGAGUUCAUAUCGACGGCGGUGUUUGGCACCUCGAUGUCGGCUCAUCACAUCCUGGGGCUGAAGUAGGUCCCAAGUGUAUGGCUGUUCGCCAUUUAAAGUGGUACGCGAGCUGGGUUUAGAACGUCGUGAGACAGUUCGGUCCCUAUCUGCCGUGGGCGCUGGAGAACUGAGGGGGGCUGCUCCUAGUACGAGAGGACCGGAGUGGACGCAUCACUGGUGUUCGGGUUGUCAUGCCAAUGGCACUGCCCGGUAGCUAAAUGCGGAAGAGAUAAGUGCUGAAAGCAUCUAAGCACGAAACUUGCCCCGAGAUGAGUUCUCCCUGACUCCUUGAGAGUCCUGAAGGAACGUUGAAGACGACGACGUUGAUAGGCCGGGUGUGUAAGCGCAGCGAUGCGUUGAGCUAACCGGUACUAAUGAACCGUGAGGCUUAACCUUACAACGCCGAAGAUGUUUUGGCGGAUGAGAGAAGAUUUUCAGCCUGAUACAGAUUAAAUCAGAACGCAGAAGCGGUCUGAUAAAACAGAAUUUGCCUGGCGGCCUUAGCGCGGUGGUCCCACCUGACCCCAUGCCGAACUCAGAAGUGAAACGCCGUAGCGCCGAUGGUAGUGUGGGGUC
rnacentral:rRNA from 1 species